UCUGGAAUGUUUUGAAGCUCUGAAUAAGAAAAUUGAUGGUUUGGAGACGAAGGCUGAGAUGGAGGAUGAGUUUAGACGCCUGCUUCUGGCUCAGCUUAACAAAAUGCAGGAGAGUAUCGACAACCUGCAUAGAAAGAAGGCUGACAGCGAACAUGAAGCGGAUGAAAAAACGAAGCUGUAAUGUAAACACGAUACAUUAUGGGUGAUAUCGAUUUAGAACAGUCAGUGAAACAAAAAGUUCUUACACUAAUGGUCUGUAGGAACGAUGUAUAUUUCAGCUCUAUGGAGUAUGUAUACUUUAAUCAUCGUGCAACAAUGAAUGCUUUUAUAAUAAAUGUUGCACGUUAUAAUGCCCAAACUAUGUAUUACGUCUUUA